UACGGGGGGGGCAAGCGUUGUUCGGAAUUACUGGGCGUAAAGGGCUCGUAGGUGGCCAACUAAGUCAGACGUGAAAUCCCUCGGCUUAACCGGGGAACUGCGUCUGAUACUGGAUGGCUUGAGAUUGGGAGAGGGAUGCGGAAUUCCAGGUGUAGCGGUGAAAUGCGUAGAUAUCUGGAGGAACACCGGUGGCGAAGGCGGCAUCCUGGACCAACACUGACGCUGAGGAGCGAAAGCCAGGGGAGCGAACAGG
rnacentral:rRNA from 1 species